rnacentral:rRNA from 1 species
GCAGGCCUAACACAUGCAAGUCGAGCGGCAGCGGGAAAGUAGCUUGCUACUUUUGCCGGCGAGCGGCGGACGGGUGAGUAAUGCCUGGGGAUCUGCCCAGUCGAGGGGGAUAACAGUUGGAAACGACUGCUAAUACCGCAUACGCCCUACGGGGGAAAGGAGGGGACCUUCGGGCCUUUCGCGAUUGGAUGAACCCAGGUGGGAUUAGCUAGUUGGUGGGGUAAUGGCUCACCAAGGCGACGAUCCCUAGCUGGUCUGAGAGGAUGAUCAGCCACACUGGAACUGAGACACGGUCCAGACUCCUACGGGAGGCAGCAGUGGGGAAUAUUGCACAAUGGGGGAAACCCUGAUGCAGCCAUGCCGCGUGUGUGAAGAAGGCCUUCGGGUUGUAAAGCACUUUCAGCGAGGAGGAAAGGUUGGCGCCUAAUACGUGUCAACUGUGACGUUACUCGCAGAAGAAGC